GGAUUCAUUUUCUUUUGUUAAAGUCUAAUUUGUCCUUAAUUAAUAGUUUAUUUUUGUUGUGCAUUAUAAAUGUAUUAUACAACAACACUACCAACCUGGGGUGUGGUUGAGUAGAAGGGACUCAUUCAUCUUUACUUAAAUUUUAA